GACCACUUCAUGAGGGGUGGACCCGUUGGCUGUGCUGGCACCGCCAACCCAACUGGCUGGAGGAAGGAGCCAGACUUCCUCCUGUACCUGGCCCACUUCACCAGUCACACCUGUGUCCAAGGAGUCGAAGCUGCUCCGGCUGCUGGACAAUCACCCGUCCCACCUGUCAAUUGCAGCAAUCGAUUACUGCAGAGCCAACGGCAUAGUGCUGCUGUCAUUCCCUCCCCACUGCACCCGCAGGUUGCAGCCAAUGGACAUUAGUGUCUUCGGCCCCCUAAAGGGGUACGUAAACAGUGCGGUGGACAGGUGGAUGAGGAGCCACCAAGGGAUCAACACCUCGAUUUAUGAUGUGCCCUCCAUCGUUGCUGAAGCCUUACCAGAGGCUGCAACAGUGGAGAACAUCACCUCCGGGUUCUCUAGUCAAGGGAUCUGACCUUUUAAACCCUCCGCGUUUGAGGAAAAGGACUUCUCCGGAACCUAUUCCACAGACCGUCCUCCUCCCCAGGCUUCAGGUGACGAGGUCAGCGCUUCUCCAGGUGCCAUUUCAGGCAUGGAUGUACCUGGACGAGCUGCCGGGCCUGACGAAGCUGUCGUGCCUGAGCAAGAUGCCCUUGAAUUCAGCCUGGACAUCGUCCGGUCUUACCCUAAGGCCGGGCCUAGAAAGAUUACAAAGAGAAGAGGGAGAAAGAGGACAACUGCUAUACUUAAGACACCCCGAACUCUGAAGCAGCGUCGUCCCGCCAAGCAGCCUCCCUCCUCUCGGGCUCCCAAGAAGAGGCUCUUCUCGCCCGCUCCUGAUGCCGCCCCCCUUGCUGGAGUCACCCCUGGUGCCACCUCAGCUGCUCCUCCCUCCAUCACCGGGCCCGCUGAUGGAGUCACCCCCAACUUAGGCCUAAUUUGUCCUGUUCUGGAUGCAGUAAAGUUCGCCACUAUUGCUGCCUGACCCUUUACUUCUCCAACUUAUAUAGGCCUAUCCAACGAGGACGUCAACUGCGAGUCCUUCAGCGCCUCGAUGCCUGGGGAAGAGUGGGUCCAGUGUGAUUUUUGCUAUAAGUGGUCGCAUGAGGCUUGCACCGACGGGAGUACACACUACCUGUGUCACCUGUGUGACAAAGAAUACAAAUAUUUAGCCUACUAUACUGUCCAUGUGUCUUCACUAGUUUGCAGUGGAAGUACUGUAAAUGUUGGCCUACAGCACAAUUCACUUAACAUUAUAGACUGAUUAACUAACAGACCUGCAAACUCCUCAGAGGAAAAAAGGUGAGUGUCACAGGGGGAUUUUUUUUUGUUGUAAUAUACAAAUGACACUACUCUAAGCGUGACUUAACAAAACUCUUUAUCAAAAAUCAAUGUCAAAACAUCCUUAAGGC
ensembl:lncRNA